AUACGUAGGUGGCAAGCGUUAUCCGGAAUCAUUGGGCGUAAAGGGUGCGUAGGCGGCUUCUUAAGUUUGUAGUGAAAUCGUAGGGCUCAACUCUAUCUAGCUACAAAAACUGGGAGGCUGGAGUGCGGUAGAGGCUAGUGGAAUUCCUAGUGACGCGGGAAAAUGCGUAGAUAUUAGGAGGAACACCGGUGGCGAAGGCGACUAGCUGGGCCGUAACUGACGCUGAGGCACGAAAGCGUGGGGAGCAAAUAGGAUUAGAUACCCUGGUAGUCCACGCUGUAAACGAUGAAUACUAGGUGUGGGGGGACUGACCCCCUCCGUGCCGCAGUUAACACAAUAAGUAUUCCACCUGGGGAGUACGGCCGCAAGGUUGAAACUCAAAUGAAUUGGCGGGG
rnacentral:rRNA from 1 species